rnacentral:rRNA from 1 species
UCUAUCAACUCUAACCUAUCUUACACAUGCAAGUCUCCGCGCCCCCGUGAGAAUGCCCUGCAACUUCCGCCUCGGAAAUAAGGAGCUGGUAUCAGGCACAAUAUAGCCCAAGACGCCUUGCUUAGCCACACCCUCAAGGGAACUCAGCAGUGAUAAACAUUAAGCCAUAAGUGAAAGCUUGACUUAGUCAAGGUUAGGGCCGGUAAAACCCGUGCCAGCCACCGCGGUUAUACGGGGGGCCCAAGCUGAUAGACACCGGCGUAAAGCGUGGUUAGGAACAUUUUAUACAAUUAAAGCCGAAUGCUUUCAAGGCUGUUAUACGCAUCCGAAAGCUAGAAGCACAACUACGAAGGUGGCUUUAUAACUUCUGAACCCACGAAAGCUAAGAAACAAACUGGGAUUAGAUACCCCACUAUGCUUAGCCCUAAACAUUGAUAGGAGACUCCUCUAUCCGCCUGGGGACUACGAGCUUAAGCUUAAAACCCAAAGGACUUGGCGGUGCUUUAGAUCCCCCUAGAGGAGCCUGUUCUGGAACCGAUAAUCCCCGUUAAACCUCACCUUUUCUUGUUCUCCCCGCCUAUAUACCGCCGUCGUCAGCUUACCCUGUGAAGGGACAACAGUUAGCAGAAUUGGCACAGCCCAAAACGUCAGGUCGAGGUGUAGCGUACGGAAAGGGAAGAAAUGGGCUACAUUUUCUAGAUAGAAAAUACGGAUGAUAUACUGAAAUACAUAUCUGAAGGAGGAUUUAGUAGUAAGAAGAGA